GAGUUUGAUCGUGGCUCAGGACGAACGCUGGCGGCGUGCUUAACACAUGCAAGUCGAGCGAGGCCCUUCCUUCGGGAAGGUGCCCUAGCGGCGAACGGGUGAGUAACACGUGGGCAACCUGCCCCUAGCACUGGGAUAACUCCGGGAAACCGGGGCUAAUACCGGAUACGACCUCUCUGGGCAUCCUCAGAGGUGGAAAGGAUUCUGGCUAGGGAUGGGCCCGCGGCCUAUCAGCUUGUUGGUGGGGUAAUAGCCUACCAAGGCGACGACGGGUAGCCGGCCUGAGAGGGCGACCGGCCACACUGGGACUGAGACACGGCCCAGACUCCUACGGGAGGCAGCAGUGGGGAAUCUUGCACAAUGGGCGAAAGCCUGAUGCAGCGACGCCGCGUGAGGGAUGACGGCCUU
rnacentral:rRNA from 1 species